rnacentral:rRNA from 1 species
AGUGAACGCUGGCGGUAGGCCUAACACAUGCAAGUCGAACGGCAGCACAGUAAGAGCUUGCUCUUACGGGUGGCGAGUGGCGGACGGGUGAGGAAUACAUCGGAAUCUACUUUUUCGUGGGGGAUAACGUAGGGAAACUUACGCUAAUACCGCAUACGACCUACGGGUGAAAGCAGGGGAUCUUCGGACCUUGCGCGAUUGAAUGAGCCGAUGUCGGAUUAGCUAGUUGGCGGGGUAAAGGCCCACCAAGGCGACGAUACAUAGCUGGUCUGAGAGGAUGAUCAGGCACCCUGGAACUGAAACAGGGUCCAGACUCCUACGGGAGGCAGCAGUGGGGAAUAUUGGACAAUGGGCGCAAACCUGAUCCAGCCAUACCGCGUGGGUGAAGAAGGCCUUCGGGUUGUAAAGCCCUUUUGUUGGGAAAGAAAAGCAGCAGGUUAAUACCCCGCUGUUCUGACGGUACCCAAAGAAUAAGCACCGGCUAACUUCGUG